AUCUCACCUCAACAAUGUCUGCACAAGAAGCUGAGCUAUAGACUCCCAUCACACCAUGCAAGAUCUCUGAAGGAAGACUGAACUCAGAGGAAGCAUGUGGCAGCUCUCUGGCUGACUAAGUUGUUCAAAAAGUUGUAAGUGCACUAAGGGAAGUGGACAGAAAAGUGUCUGCUGAAGAAACUCCCAUAUUCACCAUGUAAGAUCCUACCCACAGACAUCAAGCUCCCGAAGGAAUAACGAGCAAGCUACUGACCCUGGAAAGAAAGAAAAAACAAACAAACCACAAGCUGGAAACAGAAAGGGGCAACUCUUAAAGACAGGCUGUACUUCAACAAUCUCAAGUUCUACUUGCCCAAGAACAUAUACUCAGCAGUGGUCCAGUGGGCCUACGGAGCAUCUGUCCAGAACCCUCAUGAACUCUUUUGAUCAAUAAAUACUCUGAAGUAUCAGGAAUUGCCUCUCUGACCAACAGUUACUGUAAAUCUUGUGCCAUUUGUGCCAAGGGCAACUCAAGAAGAAUGGAUGAAAGCCCCAAGCAUCUAGCCAAACCUCAUUAUCUCUUCCAGAGGAGUCAAGUCG